rnacentral:rRNA from 1 species
GACGAACGCUGGCGGCGUGCUUAACACAUGCAAGUCGAACGGAAAGGCCCUGCUUUUGUGGGGUGCUCGAGUGGCGAACGGGUGAGUAACACGUGAGUAACCUGCCCUUGACUUUGGGAUAACUUCAGGAAACUGGGGCUAAUAUCGGAUAGGAGCUCCUGCUGCAUGGUGGGGGUUGGAAAGUUUCGGCGGUUGGGGAUGGACUCGCGGCUUAUCAGCUUGUUGGUGGGGUAGUGGCUUACCAAGGCUUUGACGGGUAGCCGGCCUGAGAGGGUGACCGGCCACAUUGGUACUGCGAUACGGCCCAGACUCCUACGGGAGGCAGCAGUGGGGAAUAUUGCACAAUGGGCGGAAGCCUGAUGCAGCAACGCCGCGUGCGGGAUGACGGCCUUCGGGUUGUAAACCGCUUUCGCCUGUGACGAAGCGUGAGUGACGGUAAUGGGUAAAGAAGCACCGGCUAACUACGUG